CUGUGGCUACGUUGUCUUUGCGUUAUGGCCUGGUGCAUCUUGUCAGGCUCCGUGGCAGCUGUCACUUUAACUCAGCCAGGUUCUGCCCGUGCAGAGCCAGGGAGUUCCAUUACCCUGGAUUGUGUCGUCUCUGGGUAUAACAUCGAUGACCAUCAUCUCCACUGGGUCCGUCAGGCCCCUGGGAAAGGUCUGGUCUGGGUCACAGCCUUCAGAACAGGUUUCACCACCAUCACCACUAACGAAUUCAAAGGCCGGGUCACCCCCUCCACCAGCGGCUCCACUGCCAGGCUAAAGAUGGACGGACUGACAGCUGCAGACACGGCUACCUACUACUGUGCACGAGAAACACAGUGCUCGCUUCCCAGCUUCCUCUCCUACAGUAACCUCUGGGGCAAGGGGUUCGUCUCAUUGAGCACAUCUCUCUGCAUGAAAUUCAGCCCUCUGCCACUGCCUGCACAUUGCAAGAGUCCCAAGGCAGCCCUCAAAAUGAGACCCUGGGGUUAAACAGGCCAUGGGAUGAGCCCCCUGCACAGGGUCAACUUCACCCUCAACAAUUAAUCUUGUGUCCUUACCAUAACAGACUGCCCGAGGCGGCACCGUGAUCUAUUGGCUAGCGCCCUGUGCUAGGAGUCCGGCUCGCUGAGUUCUGACCCAUUGCUCUGGGGUGUGGCCUGAGGUAAUUCACGACUACCUACCUGCCCCUUUCCUUUCCCACCCUCGGGGUCUCUUGUCGGUUUUAUAUGAUAAGCUCUUCAGAGCCAGGCCUGUUGCUUGCUGAGCUUAUGGGCCAUGCCAGUUUUGCCACAAGGAACAAUAGUAAUUAGUAGAUUCGUGUAUUUUAAGGCCAGAGAGGACCAUUAGAAUCAUCUACUCUAAUCGCCUGCGUAACACAGGCCAGAGAACGCAGCACAGCUAUUCCUGCACCAGCACCAGAGCUUGCGGCUGAGCGACUGCGCCGAUGUUAGAGAGCGUGGAAGAGGGAUUAAUGGAUUUUAAGGCCAGCAGGGACCAUGUAGUCUGACCUUCCACAGAGCACAGGCCAAAGAACUUCACCCGUCUGGCUGUCCUGUUGAAUUAUUUGUUGGCACAGAUAGCUAUUUCUACAUCAUUCCUCUAUCGUUAUUAAUGUGCACGCGGUGGCAGAGAAGUUCUCCAGGAUGGAUCUCUGGGAUUUCAGGGGCUGUCAUCGCUGCGAACCACGUGCCCUUUCCAUUUCAUUCCACGUCACAGCUGAAAUUCUGAACUUCCCCCAUUGACUGCCAUCUUCGUAACCAGCACUGUCCAGAAGGAGAAAAGAUAUUCACAAAUAUUAUUCUGUUUUUGUACUGUAACAUUUUGGAAGGAUGAAUA